rnacentral:rRNA from 1 species
UACGUAGGUGGCAAGCGUUGUCCGGAAUUAUUGGGCGUAAAGAGCUCGUAGGCGGUCUGUCGCGUCGGCUGUGAAAUCCCGGAGCUCAACUCCGGGUCUGCAGUCGAUACGGGCAAACUGGAGUACUGCAGGGGAGACUGGAAUUCCUGGUGUAGCGGUGAAAUGCGCAGAUAUCAGGAGGAACACCGGUGGCGAAGGCGGGUCUCUGGGCCGAUACUGACGCUGAGGAGCGAAAGCGUGGGGAGCGAACAGG